rnacentral:rRNA from 1 species
CAGUAGCCACGGUAAUACAGAGGAUGCAAGCGUUAUCCGGAAUUAUUGGGCGUAAAGGGCUCGCAGGCGGUUUCUUAAGUCCGAUGUGAAAGCCCCCGGCUCAACCGGGGAGGGUCAUUGGAAACUGGGAAACUUGAGUGCAGAAGAGGAGAGUGGAAUUCCACGUGUAGCGGUGAAAUGCGUAGAGAUGUGGAGGAACACCAGUGGCGAAGGCGACUCUCUGGUCUGUAACUGACGCUGAGGAGCGAAAGCGUGGGGAGCGAACAGGAUUAGAUACCCCCGUAGUCCCUGUCUCUUAUAC